rnacentral:rRNA from 1 species
UAAGGUGAUAUGAACCGUUACAGCCGGCGAUGUCCGAAUGGGGAAACCCAGUGUGAUUCGUCACACUAUCGUUAACUGAAUACAUAGGUUAACGAGGCGAACCGGGGGAACUGAAACAUCUAAGUACCCCGAGGAAAAGAAAUCAACCGAGAUUCCCCCAGUAGCGGCGAGCGAACGGGGAGCAGCCCAGAGUCUGAAUCAGCUUGUGUGUUAGUGGAACGGUCUGGAAAGUCCGACGGUACAGGGUGAUAGUCCCGUACACCAAAAUGCACAGGCUGUGAACUCGAAGAGUAGGGCGGGACACGUGGUAUCCUGUCUGAAUAUGGGGGGACCAUCCUCCAAGGCUAAAUACUCCUGACUGACCGAUAGUGAACCAGUACCGUGAGGGAAAGGCGAAAAGAACCCCGGCGAGGGGAGUGAAAAAGAACCUGAAACCGUGUACGUACAAGCAGUGGGAGCACCUUCGGGUGUGACUGCGUACCUUUUGUAUAAUGGGUCAGCGACUUAUAUUCUGUAGCAAGGUUAACCGUAUAGGGGAGCCGCAGGGAAACCGAGUCUUAACUGGGCGUUAAGUUGCAGGGUAUAGACCCGAAACCCGGUGAUCUAGCCAUGGGCAGGUUGAAGGUUGGGUAACACUAACUGGAGGACCGAACCGACUAAUGUUGAAAAAUUAGCGGAUGACUUGUGGCUGGGGGUGAAAGGCCAAUCAAACCGGGAGAUAGCUGGUUCUCCCCGAAAGCUAUUUAGGUAGCGCCUCGUGAACUCAUCUUCGGGGGUAGAGCACUGUUUCGGCUAGGGGGUCAUCCCGACUUACCAACCCGAUGCAAACUACGAAUACCGAAGAAUGUUAUCACGGGAGACACACGGCGGGUGCUAACGUCCGUCGUGAAGAGGGAAACAACCCAGACCGCCAGCUAAGGUCCCAAAGUCAUGGUUAAGUGGGAAACGAUGUGGGAAGGCACAGACAGCCAGGAUGUUGGCUUAGAAGCAGCCAUCAUUUAAAGAAAGCGUAAUAGCUCACUGGUCGAGUCGGCCUGCGCGGAAGAUGUAACGGGGCUAAACCAUGCACCGAAGCUGCGGCAGCGACACUAUGUGUUGUUGGGUAGGGGAGCGUUCUGUAAGCCUGCGAAGGUGUGCUGUGAGGCAUGCUGGAGGUAUCAGAAGUGCGAAUGCUGACAUAAGUAACGAUAAAGCGGGUGAAAAGCCCGCUCGCCGGAAGACCAAGGGUUCCUGUCCAACGUUAAUCGGGGCAGGGUGAGUCGACCCCUAAGGCGAGGCCGAAAGGCGUAGUCGAUGGGAAACAGGUUAAUAUUCCUGUACUUGGUGUUACUGCGAAGGGGGGACGGAGAAGGCUAUGUUAGCCGGGCGACGGUUGUCCCGGUUUAAGCAUGUAGGCUGGUUGUCCAGGCAAAUCCGGAUAAUCAAGGCUGAGGUGUGAUGACGAGGCACUACGGUGCUGAAGUAACAAAUGCCCUGCUUCCAGGAAAAGCCUCUAAGCAUCAGGUAACAUCAAAUCGUACCCCAAACCGACACAGGUGGUCAGGUAGAGAAUACCAAGGCGCUUGAGAGAACUCGGGUGAAGGAACUAGGCAAAAUGGUGCCGUAACUUCGGGAGAAGGCACGCUGGUGUGUAGGUGAAGUCCCUGCGGAUGGAGCUGAGACCAGUCGAAGAUACCAGCUGGCUGCAACUGUUUAUUAAAAACACAGCACUGUGCAAACACGAAAGUGGACGUAUACGGUGUGACGCCUGCCCGGUGCCGGAAGGUUAAUUGAUGGGGUUAUCCGUAAGGAGAAGCUCUUGAUCGAAGCCCCGGUAAACGGCGGCCGUAACUAUAACGGUCCUAAGGUAGCGAAAUUCCUUGUCGGGUAAGUUCCGACCUGCACGAAUGGCGUAAUGAUGGCCAGGCUGUCUCCACCCGAGACUCAGUGAAAUUGAACUCGCUGUGAAGAUGCAGUGUACCCGCGGCAAGACGGAAAGACCCCGUGAACCUUUACUAUAGCUUGACACUGAACAUUGAGCCUUGAUGUGUAGGAUAGGUGGGAGGCUUUGAAGCGUGGACGCCAGUCUGCGUGGAGCCAACCUUGAAAUACCACCCUUUAAUGUUUGAUGUUCUAACGUUGGCCCCUUACCGGGGUUGCGGACAGUGUCUGGUGGGUAGUUUGACUGGGGCGGUCUCCUCCCAAAGCGUAACGGAGGAGCACGAAGGUUAGCUAAUCCUGGUCGGACAUCAGGAGGUUAGUGCAAUGGCAUAAGCUAGCUUGACUGCGAGCGUGACGGCGCGAGCAGGUGCGAAAGCAGGUCAUAGUGAUCCGGUGGUUCUGAAUGGAAGGGCCAUCGCUCAACGGAUAAAAGGUACUCCGGGGAUAACAGGCUGAUACCGCCCAAGAGUUCAUAUCGACGGCGGUGUUUGGCACCUCGAUGUCGGCUCAUCACAUCCUGGGGCUGAAGUAGGUCCCAAGGGUAUGGCUGUUCGCCAUUUAAAGUGGUACGCGAGCUGGGUUUAGAACGUCGUGAGACAGUUCGGUCCCUAUCUGCCGUGGGCGCUGGAGAAUUGAGGGGGGCUGCUCCUAGUACGAGAGGACCGGAGUGGACGCAUCACUGGUGUUCGGGUUGUCAUGCCAAUGGCACUGCCCGGUAGCUAAAUGCGGAAGAGAUAAGUGCUGAAAGCAUCUAAGCACGAAACUUGCCCCGAGAUGAGUUCUCCCUGAGACUUUAAGUCUCCUGAAGGAACGUUAAAGACGAUGACGUUGAUAGGCCGGGUGUGUAAGCGCAGCGAUGCGUUGAGCUAACCGGUACUAAUGAACCGUGAGGCUUAACCUU